GUCCGCGACGGGGUGCGGGGAGGCAGCAGCAGCAGGCAGCGAGGAACGUCAAUCACGGGCGACGGAAGUUGAGGACGUGAUGGGAAUAAUGUGGAAGCACCGCUUCAUGUCUUUGGGCAGUGCAGCUUUCACAUUUAAGCUCAAGUGAACCAAAGUGCACCAGAGUUCACAGGAUUGGGAUGAUCGCCUUCACACCUGACCACUCCAAGCGUGCUCGCAGAUCAAACGCACCCGAGCAUGCAGGCAAACUACUGCAAGUCAGCACUUGUGCCUAAUGGAGCGGGAAAAAAACAAUCAAGGUUCGCGGUUGCUGCUCACCCGACGACAAUGUCAUACAGAGGGGACUUCACAUGAGGC